rnacentral:rRNA from 1 species
GAUAAACGCUGGCGGCGUGCCUAAUACAUGCAAGUCGAGCGAACGGACGAGAAGCUUGCUUCUCUGAUGUUAGCGGCGGACGGGUGAGUAACACGUGGAUAACCUACCUAUAAGACUGGGAUAACUUCGGGAAACCGGAGCUAAUACCGGAUAAUAUUUUGAACCGCAUGGUUCAAAAGUGAAAGACGGUCUUGCUGUCACUUAUAGAUGGAUCCGCGCUGCAUUAGCUAGUUGGUAAGGUAACGGCUUACCAAGGCAACGAUGCAUAGCCGACCUGAGAGGGUGAUCGGCCACACUGGAACUGAGACACGGUCCAGACUCCUACGGGAGGCAGCAGUAGGGAAUCUUCCGCAAUGGGCGAAAGCCUGACGGAGCAACGCCGCGUGAGUGAUGAAGGUCUUCGGAUCGUAAAACUCUGUUAUUAGGGAAGAACAUAUGUGUAAGUAACUGUGCACAUCUUGACGGUACCUAAUCAGAAAGCCACGGCUAACUACGUGCCAGCAGCCGCGGUAAUACGUAGGUGGCAAGCGUUAUCCGGAAUUAUUGGGCGUAAAGCGCGCGUAGGCGGUUUUUUAAGUCCGAUGUGAAAGCCCACGGCUCAACCGUGGAGGGUCAUUGGAAACUGGAAAACUUGAGUGCAGAAGAGGAAAGUGGAAUUCCAUGUGUAGCGGUGAAAUGCGCAGAGAUAUGGAGGAACACCAGUGGCGAAGGCGACUUUCUGGUCUGUAACUGACGCUGAUGUGCGAAAGCGUGGGGAUCAAACAGGAUUAGAUACCCUGGUAGUCCACGCCGUAAACGAUGAGUGCUAAGUGUUAGGGGGUUUCCGCCCCUUAGUGCUGCAGCUAACGCAUUAAGCACUCCGCCUGGGGAGUACGACCGCAAGGUUGAAACUCAAAGGAAUUGACGGGGACCCGCACAAGCGGUGGAGCAUGUGGUUUAAUUCGAAGCAACGCGAAGAACCUUACCAAAUCUUGACAUCCUUUGACAACUCUAGAGAUAGAGCCUUCCCCUUCGGGGGACAAAGUGACAGGUGGUGCAUGGUUGUCGUCAGCUCGUGUCGUGAGAUGUUGGGUUAAGUCCCGCAACGAGCGCAACCCUUAAGCUUAGUUGCCAUCAUUAAGUUGGGCACUCUAAGUUGACUGCCGGUGACAAACCGGAGGAAGGUGGGGAUGACGUCAAAUCAUCAUGCCCCUUAUGAUUUGGGCUACACACGUGCUACAAUGGACAAUACAAAGGGCAGCGAAACCGCGAGGUCAGGCAAAUCCCAUAAAGUUGUUCUCAGUUCGGAUUGUAGUCUGCAACUCGACUACAUGAAGCUGGAAUCGCUAGUAAUCGUAGAUCAGCAUGCUACGGUGAAUACGUUCCCGGGUCU